CAAAAAACGAUGCGUAGAAGAGUAGCUUGGAUGCCGAUUUGAAGAGAGCCUCAGUUUGGUGCGAUGGGGCAGUCGGAAUGUAAGUGAAAGUAGUCUACAAGUUGUAACUAUGAUUUUCAAUGUAGUAGUUACUGGGAAUGCGCCCAUUACCGCAAUGGAGUAUCACUCAAGCUAGACCGGUCUUCUUGAGCCGUACUUUUCGAGCUGAUUAUUGUGAGAUAAUUGGAAAUCAAGGUGGUAACACGUGUAAACGUCCUUAGC
rnacentral:ncRNA from 1 species